GGGGGACUUUAGUGUACUAUCAAAAUGCAAUGAACAAAAAUGUAAGUAUGUGUGUAGUGGGGGAAGCUGUUAAACAUUUAAUUUAAUUGUGUGUCAUUCUAGGUGACAGAGGGACAUUCUAGAGGACAGAGGAGAUCUCCAAGGACAGCCGAUGUCGCAAGAGAGGAGAAUAGUGACAGUGGUUCCAAAGAAUAAAGGUUAGAGAAGACCACAAGGGGCAUCAAGUCUAACCCCCCUGCCAAGAUGCAGGCUUUGGUCUGUCUAAACCCUACAGAGGAAUAUGAUCUGCAACAAUGUAACUCUCCUUUUGAUUCUCUUUGGGAGUUCAGAUAUCUACAGAUUCAAUGGCAAAGAAAUAUAUGUGCCUUGAGAAAACUUGUGCACUUCUUGGAGUUGAUGAGAGGUUUUGUCUGUGGAAGGACUUCAGCAUCAGGACUUGGUUUACCAAACGGAAGUCACACCAUAAAAAAUGUAACAGCUGUAUAUACUCUGAAGAUCCUCAAUAAUUGCACUGCAGUAUGAGCAAGAGAGAGAACAAGUGGCACACCCAAUGUGAGCUAGCAGGAAUAACGGUAGAUUUCAUGGUCGUGACAUCACCACCAGGCCCAGAACACUUCCUGCCAGGCUGUGGUGCUCCACAGGGAGAGAAGAUCAGAAGCGGUUAGGAGAUACAAUGAAAUUCCAGGCUCUCAAGGGACCUGAAGCUGACUAUAUUUCAACUGACAAAUGGACCAUUGUGAAUUCUGACAUAGCAAAUGUAUUAUACUACAUUUAAUAUAUAAAUUAGCCUAUUUUAUAGAAUAUUUACAAAUUGUUAAUUUUCAUGUAAUAUAAAAAUUACUUAUAUUUGUAUAUAGUACAUUUUUUUUUCUGAAGAAUCCCAAAGUGCUUUACACUAUACAAAAAUUACUUCACCGCUAAAUUGGAGUGUAACUGCACAUUGCAGUUUAGGACAGGAUGUGAAGAAUAAUAUUAUAUCCAAUUAAAACUGCAAGGGGAACUGUAAGUAGGCAGAGCUGUUACCAGAUUUAGGACUAGGCCUGGCCUUGGCCUAGGGUUAGCACUUGUACUCUUGUAAACAAAUCUUAAAUAUCUCAGUGUAAAGUCUCAUUUGUAAAAUUUCAUCUCUAGUAGUAUCUCCACUAAGAUUAUUCUGGAAAUAAAUAUAUGAAUCACUCUUAACCUGAGCUGCACAACACUGAUAACUUCAGUGGGAGUCUAGAGUAUUCUGCCCUCUUCUUGUACUGUAUCAAAAGAAUUGACUAUUAUAUUUUGUGAUCUAUAAAAAGGGCAUGGCUUUCAGCAGUCAAAUAAAAAAAAAAUGUGAGCCAGGGCAAAUGAGACUCAAAGAAUUUAAACCAAAUCACUUUAUUGUAUUGGCUUAUAUGACUGCUUUAUCAUUUUGUCCCGCAAUUGUACAUACACAUUAUCUGUGUGAUACUGACAUAGCAAAUCAUUUGUUUCUAAACACCAAACUGAAAAUAAAAAUUUACUACUCUGGAUUUA